CCUACGGGAGGCAGCAGUAGGGAAUCUUCCACAAUGGGCGAAAGCCUGAUGGAGCAACGCCGCGUGGGUGAAGAAGGUCUUCGGAUCGUAAAACCCUGUUGUUAGAGAAGAAAGUGCGUGAGAGUAACUGUUCACGUUUCGACGGUAUCUAACCAGAAAGCCACGGCUAACUACGUGCCAGCAGCCGCGGUAAUACGUAGGGGGCAAGCUGUAUCCGGAUUUAUUGGGCGUAAAGGGAACGCAGGCGGUCUUUUAAGUCUGAUGUGAAAGGCUUCGGCUUAACCGGGGUAGUGCAUUGGAAACUGGGAGACUUGAGUGCAGAAGAGGAGAGUGGAACUCCAUGUGUAGCGGUGAAAUGCGUAGAUAUAUGGAAGAACACCAGUGGCGAAAGCGGCUCUCUGGUCUGUAACUGACGCUGAGGUUCGAAAGCGUGGGUAGCAAACAGGAUUAGAUACCCUGGUAGUC
rnacentral:rRNA from 1 species